rnacentral:lncRNA from 1 species
AUGGUAGAAUGCAACGGAUGCUGUUUUGCCAUGUUGUGUCUUCAUUUAACAAUGGCAGAAUAAACCAUGGAGCAGCUGUGACUCUCAUGACCAGGAGCUGCUAAAAGAGAUUUUUGAAAAGCUUUCAGAUGUCAGUCCUGAGGUUGCUGCCUGUGAAUAAGACGGAGUUUUACUCUUGCUACCCAGGCCUGAGUGCAAUGGCGCCAUCUCGGCUCACCGCAACCUCCGCCUCCUGGGUUCAGGCAAUUCUCCUGCCUCAGCCUCCUGAGCAGCUGGGAUUACAGGCACGCGCCACUGUGCCCAGCCAUUUUUUUUUUGUAUUUUUAGUAGAGACGGGGUUUCACCAUGUUGACCAGGAUGGUCUCGAUGUCUUGACCUCAUGAUCCACCCGCCUCGGCCUCCCAAAGUGCUGGGAUUACAGGCGUGAGCUACCGCGCCCGGC